CCCGCCUUUCUUCUAGAAGUAAGUGGAAAACUAGAGGAGAAACAGCCAGAACAAAAUGGUGGUGUGGAGCUUAGGAGAUAGUUGGAUAGCUGGGGAAAAAAAUACAGCCUAAACCCUAAAUUAUAUGGUGUUCAUGGUGCUUUCCAGCAGCAGAGGUCCAAAACUGAUAAUUGUGAGGAUUAUUUGAUCCUUUUCUGUUUAAUUUGGCUAGGUUUUUGAGAGACCCUGAAAGUACCAGGAUCCUGGAUUCUCUCCCUUCUGGGGAGAUGGCGAGCCACCCAAAUUCAGUUCCUGACCAAAGUGCCACACCUUUGAGGAAGACAAGCUGUUGAUUUCACUGUUGCAAACGCUGAUGUUUGUGGUAGGAACGGAUUCACCUACAACAUUGUUUUUUUUUUUUCAUCUUUUCCUGGAUUUCAUCAGAGGGGUAGGACCUCGCCUUAAUGUCCAUUCUCCAUUUCUUUUAUUUGUUACUUUGAAGGUGCACCCAACAAUGGACAUUGACAUUUACUAGACAUUUUCUAUAUACUUUGAAUGCCGGCUUAUUUGUUAUUUGUUGUUGUUUAAUUUAAAUACAUUUCAAUCUCAUACCAUA